rnacentral:rRNA from 1 species
AGUGAACGCUGGCGGUAGGCCUAACACAUGCAAGUCGAACGGCAGCACAGUAAGAGCUUGCUCUUACGGGUGGCGAGUGGCGGACGGGUGAGGCAUACAUCGGAAUCUACUUUUUCGUGGGGGAUAACGUAGGGAAACUUACGCUAAUACCGCAUACGACCUACGGGUGAAAGCAGGGGAUCUUCGGACCUUGCGCGAUUGAAUGAGCCGAUGUCGGAUUAGCUAGUUGGCGGGGUAAAGGCCCACCAAGGCGACGAUCCGUAGCUGGUCUGAGAGGAUGAUCAGCCACACUGGAACUGAGACACGGUCCAGACACCUACGGGAGGCAGCAGUGGGGAAUAUUGGACAAUGGGCGCAAGCCUGAUCCAGCCAUACCGCGUGAGUGAAGAAGGCCUUCGGGUUGUAAAGCCCUUUUGUUGGGAAAGAAAAGCAGCAGGUUAAUACCCCGCUGUUCUGACGGUACCCAAAAAAUAAGCACCGGCUAACUUCGUG